UAGGAUAUGAAAAAGUAGGUACCCCCCAUUUCAGAUCUGCGUCGUCAGGCACUAUUUGUUCUAGUCUCUCUCGAUGGGGAAUGAAUGGUACAUAAAUUGAUUUAUUAUGCAAAAUUCUUUGAAGAACCUUUGCAGCUAACUCUCUUAAUUUAUCCAUCUUCUCCACUGCUUGUUUAACAAUAUUUCCAACUAAAUGGGUUGCCAUAUUUUCAUCAAAAAGAAAAUUCAUCUGGUUUGUAACAUCUGUCUCGUCCAACUGAGGAACAGAUCCAAGUUCCAUUUGUUCUGACUUGCUUGAGACACCCUUGAGUCCUCUUUUGCAUAGAAUAUAUGUGCAUCUCUCAAGGCCAUCUAAG
rnacentral:misc_RNA from 1 species